rnacentral:lncRNA from 1 species
UUUUAUUCUGUUCUUUCUUUAUUCAUUAAUUGAACCCCCAUGAGGUCAAUUAUGGACUUUUCAAGAUCGUGGACUGACUGUCCUCUCUUCCUCUUGACUUCCCUCAUAUCAAGCCCAGUAUCAGUCUGAAAAAGGCAUUCAAAAACUGCUGAUUAAAAGAAACUAAGUUGUGUGGUGAGUGUGGAUGACCAAUUAUUUAAAACAAAAGGAAUGAAUACUCUGUCCUUUCUCUUGUUUAAAUGGUAUGCUCAGGAAUGCAAAAUGGACUUGUGCCCAACUGAAAAAUAGUGAAGCUGCUCACAGUGUGGGAGCCAACCAGAAGUGUCGUAAACGUCUGACAUUUGGCCGUCUAUGGAAGACUAUAAGUGGAACAGUCUGUGAACAUUAAAGGUGUUGAUCAUAAGUGUACUCCUUAAUGAAUACCCUGCACACUAAAAUCUACCUCAGCGUUGGCUUCAUAGGGAAGCAGGCAGAAAGAAGAAGCAGUUUCCAAGAUGCGGGUUUGGGAGCAGGAUCACAUACUGCCUGGAUCGCAUUGAGAACAUCACCAUUGGUCAGAAGUGAAAUAAAGAUAGUCACCGGAAAAAAGGCAGUGGUCCCAUCAUUCAGUGGUAAAUUGAGGGGCAUACUAGUGAAAAGGAAAGCGCUAGUUAGUGUGAUGUACCAUAUGCUUGACAAAUACGGGGGGAAGGUAACUCCAAGGACAAUGGAAUUGGGUGCCUACUGAAAUAACUGAAAACCAAGAACAACUAUUCACCAACUUAAAGCAAAUUUGAAAGUCAGAGGGCCUCUUUGGUAACAUCUACUAAAGGGAGAGAGUAGAGGAAGCUGAGGACAUGGCCUAGGACUUAAUUUCCAGAGAAACUCAACAAUGAAAAAUGUUAAAUAAAUGAGCAAGGCAGGUUUGCUAUGCUAAGGCGGGGGUGUAGGUUGGGGAAGAGUUGGGACCAUCAUGUAGACAAACCAG